rnacentral:rRNA from 1 species
AGUGAACGCUGGCGGUAGGCCUAACACAUGCAAGCCGAACGGCAGCACAGGGGAGCUUGCUCUCUGGGUGGCGAGUGGCGGACGGGUGAGGAAUACAUCGGAAUCUACUUUUUCGUGGGGGAUAACGUAGGGAAACUUACGCUAAUACCGCAUACGACCUACGGGUGAAAGCAGGGGACCUUCGGGCCUUGCGCGAUUGAAUGAGCCGGUGUCGGAUUAGCUAGUUGGCGGGGUAAAGGCCCACCAAGGCGACGAUCCGUAGCUGGUCUGAGAGGAUGAUCAGCCACACUGGAACUGAGACACGGUCCAGACUCCUACGGGAGGCAGCAGUGGGGAAUAUUGGACAAUGGGCGCAAGCCUGAUCCAGCCAUACCGCGUGGGUGAAGAAGGCCUUCGGGUUGUAAAGCCCUUUUGUUGGGAAAGAAAUCCAGCUGGCUAAUACCCGGUUGGGAUGACGGUACCCAAAGAAUAAGCACCGGCUAACUUCGUGCCAGCCGCCGCCGCCG